rfam:Triticum aestivum genome assembly, contig: Triticum_aestivum_CS42_TGACv1_scaffold_577042_7BL
AACAUACUCCCUCCGUCCGGAAAUAAUUGUCAUCAAAAUGGAUAAAAGGGAAUGUAUCUAGAUGUAUUUUAGUUCUAUAUGCAUCCAUUUUUAUACAUUUAUGCGACAAGUAAUUCCGGACGGAGGGAGUACAUA